UUUCCGUAGGUGAACCUGCGGAAGGAUCAUUCAUAAUAAGUGUUUUAUGGCACUUUUUUAAAUCCAUAUCCACCUCGUGUGCAAUGUCAGGGUUGAUUUUUCUCUCGAGAGGACCAACCCCAAACAUCAACUAUAUCUCAACUCUUUGUCUGAAAAAUAUUAUGAAUAAAACAAUUCAAAAUACAACUUUCAACAACGGAUCUCUUGGCUCUC
rnacentral:misc_RNA from 1 species